rnacentral:rRNA from 1 species
AUUGAACGCUGGCGGCAUGCCUUACACAUGCAAGUCGAACGGAAACAGGUUAAGCUGACGAGUGGCGAACGGGUGAGUAAUGUAUCGGAACGUGCCCAGUCGUGGGGGAUAACUGCUCGAAAGAGCAGCUAAUACCGCAUACGACCUGAGGGUGAAAGCGGGGGAUCGCAAGACCUCGCGCGAUUGGAGCGGCCGAGAUCAGAUUAGGUAGUUGGUGGGGUAAAGGCUCACCAAGCCGACGAUCUGUAGCUGGUCUGAGAGGACGACCAGCCAGACUGGGACUGAGACACGGCCCAGACUCCGACAGGAGGCAGCAGUGGGGAAUUUUGGACAAUGGGCGCAAGCCUGAUCCAGCCAUGCCGCGUGCGGGAAGAAGGCCUUCGGGUUGUAAACCGCUUUUGUCAGGGAAGAAAAGGUUCUGGCUAAUACCUGGGACUCAUGACGGUACCUGAAGAAGAAGCACCGGCUAACUGCGUGCCAGCCGCCGCUGUAACAC